CCAGGAGAGCGAGAGGAAGGCGCACAGGCAGAAGAGCAGCAGCGUCAGGAAGGUGCCAUUGCGGAGCCUCAUCUCCUCGGGUUUUAUUUAUUGGAGAGAGCGAGACAGAUAGUGAGAGAGGGCAAGAGCAGGGAGGAGAGGGAGAAGAAGGCUUCACCGGCAGCAGGAAGCUCCACUCAGGACUCCAUCCCAGGACUCUGGGAUCAUGACCCAAGAGGAAGGCCGUUGCCCAACCAACUCAGCCACCCAGGUGCUAAGGGAAUCUCCUGCCCCCUGAGAGUUUAGAAGUCCUGCCCUAAGCCUCACCUUGGCCCUCAGCAGUCCCUUCUUUCCUUGGACACCUCAUUUCCAUUUUCAUUCAUAACCAAUGUUCUGUGUGUUCGCCGUGUGUCAGACAUGCCUGAGUCACCAAUGAUACCAGGGACACUAGCCGGGACACUACCCAGCUGGCAUCCUGUCUCUGGCCACUCCACCCAGUCCUGGAAAGGUCCUGGGCUGGAACGAAGGGUGUGACGUUACCUCAGGGGAGCAGAUUUUAUGUAUUUAUUUGAGAGAGAGCAAGCAAGCACAAGUCGGGGG